AAAAUACAAAAGCUCACAAUAGCUAACACGACAAUCACAAAUUUCAAAAUCAAAAGAAAAAUCACACAAGAUUUGUUCCAAAAAUAUCUCGCUAAGUAAAAAAAAACAACCAGAAAAAUGUUGACUUAAGUAAAAGUUAGGGCAUCAUUUAAAAAAAAAAGAGCUCGCUAAGUCAAAAACUAAAAAGGAGUUCACUUAGGAAAAAG
rnacentral:lncRNA from 1 species